CUCAUACUUCUUCUCU
rnacentral:sRNA from 1 species